rnacentral:rRNA from 1 species
GUCUCAAAGAUUAAGCCAUGCAUGUCUAAGUAUAAGCAAUCUAUACGGUGAAACUGCGAAUGGCUCAUUAAGUCAGUUAUCGUUUAUUUGAUAGUACCUUACUACUUGGAUAACCGUGGUAAUUCUAGAGCUAAUACAUGCUAAAAACCCCGACUUCGGAAGGGGUGUAUUUAUUAGAUAAAAAACCAAUGC